UGGGGAAUAUUGGACAAUGGGCGCAAGCCUGAUCCAGCCAUGCCGCGUGAGUGAUGAAGGCCUUAGGGUUGUAAAGCUCUUUUGUCCGGGAAGAUAAUGACUGUACCGGAAGAAUAAGCCCCGGCUAACUUCGUGCCAGCAGCCGCGGUAAUACGAAGGGGGCUAGCGUUGCUCGGAAUCACUGGGCGUAAAGGGCGCGUAGGCGGACUUUUAAGUCGGAGGUGAAAGCCCAGGGCUCAACCCUGGAAUUGCCUUCGAUACUGGGAGUCUUGAGUUCGGAAGAGGUUGGUGGAACUGCGAGUGUAGAGGUGAAAUUCGUAGAUAUUCGCAAGAACACCGGUGGCGAAGGCGGCCAACUGGUCCGAAACUGACGCUGAGGCGCGAAAGCGUGGGGAGCAAACAGGACUAGAUACCCUGGUAGUCCACGCCGUAAACGAUGAAUGCCAGCCGUUGGGGAGCUUGCUCUUCAGUGGCGCAGCUAACGCUUUAAGCAUUCCGCCUGGGGAGUACGGUCGCAAGAUUAAAAACUUAAAGGAAUUGACGGGGUCAUAGCUGUUUCCU
rnacentral:rRNA from 1 species